GUGAACAAAAACAUUAAGAAAUUAUAGGCUCUUCUAUUUGUUGUAUCCAUUUUGUGGAUAAUCCAUCAGAUCGCCAACUCAAUAAGUGUACCAUAGUAAUCCAGCAUGUCUAAUUUCUGUAACCUUCUGGCACCUAUUAGAGAGAUUGAGGUAGAAAUCUAAUACUGUUAUUUCAUUUAAUUAAUUUUGACUUGUUAGUUUUUUUGCAGUCUCUUGAUUUCAUAUCAUGCCAUAUUAGCUAUUUGAGCAAGAGUGAGAUUUGUUCUUCACUGAAUUCCCAUGCAUGGUAAUGCAUCAAAUCUAAAAUAUAUUUGCAUGCAAAAGCAUUCCAGUAUCAUGCUUCAUAGGAAAUCUGUGCCUAGUCUUUUGGCUUACUAAAUAAAAGAUUUUCAUCCUGCCCCACCUGCCCUGACCUAGACUGAAGCUAUACCAGCAAACGGAAGAUAGUUUUGUUUUGGCAAAGUUGGAAAUAUUUUCCUGGGAAAAGAGUUUGCCAUGCAACUUUAAAAGAAUUGAUUGUACUAUUAAAGUUCAAAAUAAAUUUAUUAUCAAAGUAUAUAUAUGUCACCAUAUACAACCCUGUGAUUUAUUUUCUUGCAGGCAUGCUCAAAUCUAUAGAAUAAUAGCCAUAACAGAAACAAUUUAAGACUGCACCAACUUGGACAUUCAACCAGUGUGCAAAAGACAACAAACUGUAUAACUAAAAAAAGAAAUAAUAAAUAAGCAAUAAAUAUUGAGAACAUGAGAUGAAGAGUUCUUGAAAGUGAGUCCAUUUUUCCCACAACAUUUCAUUGAGGGAACAAGUGAAGCAAAGACGACGGGACUGGACAACUUCCCAUCUCCCGCACUGAAGGCCGGUGUUCCUGAACUAGCGAUGUUUCAGCUCAAGCUGUUCCAGUACAGUCAGAGCAGCUGUAUAUUUACCGGGGUCAUAAAAAGUUGCAGCGAAGUUCCCCGACGGCGGAAGACGCAGGAGUCUCGUCCCACAUUGUGAGGACUGCAAGAACUGGGUCCAUGGCAAUCUAGGACAGUGAGGACUGCCUCAGUCUAAGCCCAAACUAACUACAAAUCUGAUCAGGAGUGUGACGUAUCAGGAACCUCUGGAACCAAUUAGCAGGAAAACAUCCACUGACUCCAGAGCAAGAAAAUCAAAUCUACAAGAUUAUAUUCUACAUGAAGUGUUUUUUUUUUGCCAGAAACAUUAUAUCCUGCGCACGGACUGUUUGAACUGCUUCCGUCUGGUAGGCGCUUCAGAUCCCUCCAGACUAAGACUAAUAGGCACUGGAGAAGUUUUUUCUCUA